UUAAAGAAUUUGAAGACUUUAAUUCGCAUACUUGGAAGAUUUGAAGACUUCAGCUUGCAUACUCGGAAGAUUUGAAGACUUAAACU
rnacentral:pre_miRNA from 1 species